AGAGUUUGAUCCUGGCUCAGGAUGAACGCUGGCGGCGUGCUUAACACAUGCAAGUCGAACGAACCUUCGGGUUAGUGGCGGACGGGUGAGUAACGCGUGGGAAUCUGCCCUCAGGAGGGGGAUAACGGCUGGAAACGGCCGCUAAUACCCCAUAUGCCGAGAGGUGAAAUGAAUUUCGCCUGAGGAUGAGCCCGCGUCUGAUUAGCUUGUUGGUGAGGUAAUGGCUCACCAAGGCUUCGAUCAGUAGCUGGUCUGAGAGGAUGAUCAGCCACACUGGGACUGAGACACGGCCCAGACUCCUACGGGAGGCAGCAGUGGGGAAUUUUCCGCAAUGGGCGAAAGCCUGACGGAGCAACGCCGCGUGAGGGAUGAAGGCCUCUGGGCUGUAAACCUCUUUUCUCAAGGAAGAAGAUCUGACGGUACUUGAGGAAUAAGCCACGGCUAAUUCCGUGCCAGCAGCCGCGGUAAUACGGGAGUGGCAAGCGUUAUCCGGAAUUAUUGGGCGUAAAGCGUCCGCAGGCGGCCCUUCAAGUCUGCUGUUAAAACGUGGAGCUUAACUCCAUCAAGGCAGUGGAAACUGUUGGGCUUGAGUGUGGUAGGGGCAGAGGGAAUUCCCGGUGUAGCGGUGAAAUGCGUAGAUAUCGGGAAGAACACCAGUGGCGAAGGCGCUCUGCUGGGCCAUAACUGACGCUCAUGGACGAAAGCCAGGGGAGCGAAAGGGAUUAGAUACCCCUGUAGUCCUGGCCGUAAACGAUGAACACUAGGUGUCGGGGGAAUCGACCCCCUCGGUGUCGUAGCCAACGCGUUAAGUGUUCCGCCUGGGGAGUACGCACGCAAGUGUGAAACUCAAAGGAAUUGACGGGGGCCCGCACAAGCGGUGGAGUAUGUGGUUUAAUUCGAUGCAACGCGAAGAACCUUACCAGGGUUUGACAUCCUGCGAACCUUUAAGAAAUUAGAGGGUGCCUUCGGGAACGCAGUGACAGGUGGUGCAUGGCUGUCGUCAGCUCGUGUCGUGAGAUGUUGGGUUAAGUCCCGCAACGAGCGCAACCCACGUCUUUAGUUGCCAGCAUUUAGUUGGGCACUCUAGAGAGACCGCCGGUGAUAAACCGGAGGAAGGUGUGGAUGACGUCAAGUCAUCAUGCCCCUUACAUCCUGGGCUACACACGUACUACAAUGCUACGGACAAAGGGCAGCGAACUCGCGAGGGCAAGCAAAUCCCAUAAACCGUGGCUCAGUUCAGAUCGUAGGCUGCAACUCGCCUACGUGAAGGAGGAAUCGCUAGUAAUCGCAGGUCAGCAUACUGCGGUGAAUACGUUCCCGGGCCUUGUACACACCGCCCGUCACACCAUGGAAGUUGGCCACGCCCGAAGUCGUUACUCCAACCCUUGUGGAGGAGGACGCCGAAGGUGGGGCUGAUGACUGGGGUGAAGUCGUAACAAGGUAGCCGUACCGGAAGGUGCGGCUG
rnacentral:rRNA from 1 species